AAGUCGUAACAAGGUUUCCGUAGGUGAACCUGCGGAAGGAUCAUUAUGAGAUUUUGAGAUUAUGUUAGAUUGUGAAGUGGUGUGCUGCAGGGGGUGAUUAGGAAUUGAUUACUUGAGGGUAAUUGAUUUGUGUGUGAAUCACACUUGAGAGCACACACAAAAUAACAAGAACGAUAUUAUGGGAUUGAUAAAAAAAAAGUGGAUUUAUUACUACCACACACAAUAAUAACAAAUAACAACUUUUAACAAUGGAUCUCUAGGCUCUU
rnacentral:misc_RNA from 1 species